rnacentral:rRNA from 1 species
UGCCAGCAGCCGCGGUAAUACGGAGGGUGCAAGCGUUAAUCGGAAUUACUGGGCGUAAAGCGCGCGUAGGCGGUUAAAUAAGUCAGAUGUGAAAUCCCUGGGCUCAACCUAGGAACUGCAUUUGAAACUAUUUGGCUAGAGUAUGGUAGAGGUGAGUGGAAUUUCAGGUGUAGCGGUGAAAUGCGUAGAGAUCUGAAGGAACAUCAGUGGCGAAGGCGACUCACUGGGCCAUUACUGACGCUGAGGUGCGAAAGCGUGGGUAGCAAACAGGAUUAGAUA